GGGCACCCCUCAAUCUCUAUGAUAAUUUCUUGUCUUCUCCAGGGGCCAGGGGCCUUGCUUAUAUAGUCCUCCUCCUCUGUGCGUUUUUGGUUCAGCAGGCGAUGUGGUACUAAACUUUCCACCAUAUCUCAUUAAAAUGCACAUAGGCCUUAAUGGACCAAAAUCUGAUUUGGGCCCAAUUAAUCCCGCAGCUCUUUUAUUUGGAGUCCUUCUUUUAUUAAUAUCUUUUGAUUCCGAACUCCAAAUAUAGCAAGUAAUAUAUGCAUUUCUAUCAGCUCGACGAGAUCUUUGCAAUGGUGUACUCCAUUCUGUGAUUGGUGGAAACACCUGGGCGGGCGCCCAAGGGGGGUGGGCGGGCGCCCUGCCCCCGGGCCCGUUUGCCUUCUCGUUCGUUCCCGUGGCUUCUGGAGUCUUCUAGAUGAUAGAAAAUUAUGCGGCACAUUAAUAUCUCUAUGUAAUCCCGAUGUGUAGGCCUUUCUUCCUUAUUUCCUGAUAACCCCCUGCAGAAAUAGACAAACACCAAAACUCGUGGAAUUCUGUCAGAUAAAACCCUAAGUCUAGAUGUUGAUUUCAUUUGGAUCCUUUUCUUUGUUUAUUUGAUAAUUAAAUUUGAUACUUAAGGACCGUCAACAAACUCCCCCAAGCUUACCUCUUGCUCGUCCCUGAGCAAGGAUGAACUCAAGAGUUUCUGCAAUGGUUUCAUUUCUUAAAAGUACACACGCAUUCAAACAAGAUCUCAUCUCUGAGUUAGAAUAAACUGUUAAGACUUAAAACUUACUCAUUUUACCUUUUACCAUGGGGCUUGUAACCGUCACUUGUGUCUUGAGCAGUUAAAAGAUAGAACGGUCAUGUCAAGCGCCAUGUCUCUUAUUCUUGAUCAGCUAUAGCUCUGGGGUUUUUUGUAGAUUUUCAAAUAAAACUCAGAGAUUCCUUAUAUGACUCUCUCAGAUCUCUCUUUUGUGGUAUUUAUGGAUCCUUACCAAGGCAGUAAUGGUAUAUGCCUUCUCUCAAAGUAUGUGGUAUUUUUGGUAUGAGGCAUAGUGAUAUUGCCUUCUCUCUCACCCUACUCUAAUAAAGUUCUGAUAUCUGGAGCUCAUAGGUGGAAGACAGCUAAUACAUACUUACAAGACAUUUAUUGCAUAGUCAAACCAUGGAUCCAGAGAAACAAAUCAAUAAGUCAAAUCAAGAUGUGCAUGUGUGGCGAAUGAAUGGUGUAUGGUGAUGAUGGUGAUAAUGAUGGUGAAAGUCUAAUUCUAUUUUUUAUGCUCUUUUGAGGGGAUACAUACCUUUCUUGUACUUUGAAGCUUUUUGGGGAGAAUGAGAUGCUCUAUAUUUUCUUUUUCUUUCCUCUCAGGUGGGUAUCUUGUACCCCUAAUUCUACUGUCGGACACUUGUCCAUUUUUACCUCUCGUCUCACUUUUUCUUUUCUUCGAGGUUCCGGGCACUUGCCCCUUUUUAUUUCCUCGUAUUAUUAUUAUUAUUUUCUUUCUUUUUCUCUUUCUCUUUUUUUUAGAGCACUCAUCUCCUGAAAGAAUGUAGCAAGUGGUAGUAACCAAAAUAACUGGAGCAUUUAUUUCACAGGGAAUAAUAGGGAUAGGAAAAUAUUUUUUGCUAUUCUCUCCCGGAUUAGGAGUAGAAUAAUUUUGGGUGGCUCUGGAGAUGGAAGUGAGUGGAUAUAUGUGGAUGGUACUUGUGGAGUAGAAGUAGCAUGUAUGAGUGAACGUGCAAGUGAAUCUUCAUUUUAACCACAUGACAAGCUCCUAAGGGUCUACACAGCUUGACCACACUCAAUGCUCAUAAGCAGUAAAAAGUAAAUAUGUGGCUCAAAGUCUAGCAAGCAUGUAUAUAUGGUUGUGGUAGGAUUUUAAACUCUCAUCAUACAGGAACUCAUCAUGUGUUAUUUUAAAGAUUUUUUCAAAGAUAAAAUUCUCCAGAAUUCUAGCAUCUCUAGGAACAGAUAAACAGCAGCUCAACCUUCCCAUAUUAUAUCCGCUAAGGACUUAGACUUUAGAUCAAGUACUCUUCCCACAAGUUUAGGUUUAGAGCAAGCUUUAAAUUAUAACAGUUAUGCCUAAACUUGAGAGAGAUUUCAAUUUUAAGAACUAGUCAUGGCAGAGCAACUAUUCAUCAUUUCCAUGAGAGAGCUAAUCAUGAGGGUUCAUAGCAAAUUUUAUUUAUUUGUUUAUUUAGCAAACUAAGCAAAGAUAUAUAUAUAAAAGCACAAAAUCUUUAUUUGGGUUUUUCAUAGUUUAUGUAUUUUAAUAUUCUAACAUAUUAUAAGUAUAAAGAUAGGUAGAAAUACUUAGCGAGAUAAAUGGGGGUGCUCUCCCCCAAGCUGAAUUUUGACGUAAUUUCUUCUGAUGUAGCUAGCAGGUGAUGGAGGUGUAUUUGAAAGUCGAUAGCACCCCGACAGCGAUUAGGAUGUCCUCCGUCUGCUAGUCUUCUUUGAUCCUUGAAUUCUGUGGAGCUCAAAUAGACAACAAAGCUUUGUGGAACUGGUUAAGUGUUAGCAUAAAUAUCUAGCCUUUAUCAUGUUGAGCCUCCUCAAUAUUACUUAUUUAGCAGGAUCAUGCACUUAUUAUUUUUAUAUUUUUAUUGUAAGAUGAAAACUUAUUUAUUUUAUUUUCAUGCCACCACAGUGAAUGUACUUAUGGGUUUUAUGCCAUGAGCAUACUCACAUGGGGCUUACUAUUUUUUAACAUUUAUUUUCUUUUCAAGAUAGCAUGAACCUGAUUAACUAAGCAAACUAUUGAAUGGAAAAGGAUAACUACCAAGUUUACCUCUUGGCAAGGCGUUCGGUGUUUUUAAGUCCUCCGAACGGGACUCUCUGUUUCCUUAGUCGUCCUGGGAUUUGCUGGGUGGCGUAGUCGGUGGUUCCGACGACGCCUCCUCUUCGUGUAUAACUAUCUUCUCUUUCCACACCUGACUCGGUGCUACGGUCUCCUCAGGAUAGUUCUGUUCAAGUUGUAUGUCUUCAGUCCUUAUCUCUUCUCCUUUGUAGUCUACCCAUCUGUCCUUGAUGACUUGCCUCCUCUGGUUGCGGUUGCGUUGUCUUCUUCUUGUCCUGAUCUGCUUAGAAUCUUCAACUAUAUAGUUAGAAUCAUUAAAGUAGUGGCGUACCUUUUCAGAGGGGAAGUGCAUGUGGACUUCUCCGGUUCCAAUAUAGAUAAUGGCUUUGAUAGUGCUGAGGAACGGUCUUCCAAGGAUGAUGGGUGGAUCGAACUCGUCUUCUCCCAUGUCAAUGACCUGAAAAAUCAUCUGGAGCUGAAUAUAUUGGUUGUAGGGGCAUGGUUCCAUGCAGGAGCUGAUAAGUGACUGCGGCCAUUAUGUUGUCGUCAGAUCCGGUGUCGUAGAGUGUCUUCUGAAAAGAGUAUCCAUUGAUUGUGCACUCGAUGCUUGGAACACCAGAGUCGUUCUUCUUGAUCAAGAAAGGUGACUUGAGUCGACGAUCUUGACCUCCUUGAGCUGCAGUGACCAUCUUAGCUGACUCGGUCCACAUUUGCUUGUUCCUGUUCCUCCUGUUGGUCCUCUUCCUUGGUUCAUGUCGGGAUUGCUCUGAAGCUUGUGUAGUCUUGUUCUUGAAGGAAAGUCUCCUUCUUCCCCUUGAUGUAGAGACUGAUCUUGGCAGCAUUAGCGUAGAUGACAGCUCUGGUGUUUAGGAAUGGCCUCCCUAAGAUAAUGGGUGCCCUCUCCUCAGUACCAGUCUCUAUCACCACGAAGUUUGCUGGAGCGUACAAGGUACCAACUCGGACACAGAGGUUCUUCAAUAUUUCCUUUGGAAAACUAAGUGUCCGACCUCCAUUGUGUUUUGUGCUCGUAGAUCCCGAUUCUUCACUUGGUGGAAUCUAGGAGUUGUAAAACUCCUCCAUAUUUUGUUUGAAGUGUACCUGUUCAUAGAGACAAGGCAGAGAUCAAGUGCAUGGGCUCUGUUGGUGGAAAACACCAACAGAACCAAAAGUGUAUUUGUUCUUCUCUAACCUUAAGCAUAGUGAGCAAGACAAAGUUGAUGGAUCAUGAGUGUGGCAUUAAAAACAUUUGUUAGAUCAGAUGGCUCAACCUAAUGGAAAGAUAAUAUAUCUAUAUUUAUGUUUUGUUUAUAUCUUUCAAAGAUUUAUAUGAUUAGGAGUGUGGGAUCACGAAGGUAGUACUAAGAACAAAGAUUAAAGGACUAAACAUGUUGAAUCAAUUGGGUUGAUUAAUUUGGAGCUACAAAUCAUACAUGUUUGUCUCUUUUAUUCAUGUGUAUGCCAAAACCAAGGAGAACUUAUAAAAGUGAUAAUCAAGUACUUUAAGAUGUUAUUGAAGAGUGAUGGUAUAGUAUCACCUUAUGGAAGCUUUCCUUUCUUAGCGGUUGUGCAUCGUGUUUGUGGCACCCUCCAUGAAUCAUCUCUUAUGAGCUACAUCUUUCUUGUGUAAAUUGUUAAACUUCAUGUGUCACUUUCUUCAUCUCUAAUGUGAGUUUAUCUCAGGACUUCCUAGGUUGAUGUUGAAAGUUCUCCUGCAGGGGUUAGUCCCACAAAAUAUACCAAUAUCUACUCAAGAAGUUUUUAGUUCAGUAACCAAACUAGACUCCAUGUCUAAUCAGAUUAAGGAAGGCUAUUUAACCUAAGCACCACGCUUAAUUUAAAUGCCAUUGGAAGUGUGUCCAGUACUUCCAAACUAACACUUACUAGGAUAAACAAAGGUAGCAUGAUGGCUUUUAUAGAGAUCUACUCAAGUGGAGAUGAAGUAGUGUGAUUAGUAUUUAACAAAUUGAGCAUGUCUCAAAGGUAAGGACAACCAACAUAGUAACAUGGCAAAGGAUGUUUUAUGUAAAGUACUCCCCCAAGCUUGAAUUUUGCAAAAUUCAAGUUUGGAUGAAUUUAAUUCAAUGUUGCAUGAUGAUUGGUUGGACAUACCUUGUGCUUGUCAUUCCUCGGAUCUUCUUGCUCCAAUCCUAGAAAGGUUAGUGACACGAAUACCCGAAGGAAUAUUUCUACAAUUAUCUUUAUAUGCUCAAUACACAAGGCAAUGUUGCAAAUAAUUAAAAGUUCAUGUUAUGAUCUGAUAAGUGCUUGUUUUAGGACACUAAGCUUGUCCUUGGGAAACCAUCAAUUAACUCAGCGAGAUCUGCAAUAUUUAUUAUAGACAUAUGCAUCGACAACCGCUCUUUUAAAGUUUUUAUAAAUAGAAAAGAAGAGAGGGUUGGAGAUCUCAAAUGUGGUAAUGUUGGAGAGACUAAUUGAUUGGGGAGAUGUUGCAUAUGAGCAUGGACUUGGUGAGGUAUUUAUGAAAUAACUUCCAUGCUCACUGUUGUUUCUCUCAUUCUCAAACUCCAAGGAUGAUUCUUCAUGAAUGCUUAAAAUUCCUCUAGGAUUGUCUCUCAAGUUUGUUUUAUCUAUCCAUCCAAUGGUGAUAGCACAUGGAUUUUUAAUGCCCUCUAGCCAUUGAUGUUGCUCUUCUCGAUCCUCCUUCUUAUGCAUGGGAUGUCUAGAGAGAUUCAUAGGAUUAUCACGAAUGAAGACAUACCUUCCUUUACUAAUAGAUAAAGAAAGAAGGACUCUACCAAAGGUUAUAUUAUUAAGACCAAUGUGAAAAUAUUUAGGAAAAACAUGGUCUUGUAGGGCUAGGUCUAAACCAGGAUUUAUAGAAAGAUUAACAGAUUCCCUAGGUGUAGCUAAAAGUGCAUUAUCUUCUUGAUUAAAAGAUAGGACCUCAGCUAUAGAAAAGGGUUGGUUUUGACCUAUUGCAAUCAACUCCGGACACAGAUCAUAAUUAGAGGCAGGACGUGUUGACUCCCAUGGUCUAUGGCUGGUCUCCGAAGGUGCAAAGAAUUUAAUAAUAGGUAUGGAAUUUGAGUUAUCCAUAAAGAUAAAAAUAAAUAGAUAAAAGAAUAAAAGUAUAAUACAAGAUAAUAGCAAGAUUCAAAGUUAUCUCAGCAAACUGUCUUUCUCCCCGGCAACGGCGCCAGAAAUGCUUGUUGAUAUUUGGUAACGCAAUUAGAAAAUGAUCCGCAAGCGCACGGAUAUCGGUGAGCAUUUCACCCGGGAGGUUUUCCAGAGUAUCGUAUUUAUAUUUUUACCACUGGGAGAAAGGGUGCAUCUGACUAACCAAAUCUAUUGCUACUAUCCCUUUAGGCUACAAAGAAUGUCUCUCGAUGUGAGUGAUGUAUAGAGAAGACUGCAACCUUAGUCUCGUUCUAACCUUGGUAAGGAUGAUCUACUGUUCUAUUGGGGAGGCUCACGGAAUCUAGACAACACAAAGGAUGUUCGACCCGCACCUAUAAACCUACCCGUCCUGCUAACGAGAUGUGAUCUGCAAAGGUAACUCGGAAAUGUCACGUUCCUCGCUACUACAACGGUCCAGCUAGUCAGGGGAUAUCUAUGAGUACCCUAGCCUAAACACCACGUUUACGCUAGCAAGUGAUUACUCUAAUACUCAACCGGAAGAGGAUUAAAGUAAACUCAUAAACCAAAGAACAAUAAAACAAGAACUUACUAGUAUUAGAAGUCGAAUUACUGAAGAAUCUUAGAAGCAAGCCUCGGGUUAGGAGACUUGAUCCCGCAGGUACAACUCGGAGUAGACACCGACAGGCCGGCCUUCCUCCGAUCCACACCUCCACUCUAUCUUUCUCAAUCUAGUAGAAACUAGAAGAUCUAUUUCUACUUUACAUUGGUUGCUAAGCCUAAAAAGAAAUAUUAUUUAGAGAAGAGGUUUUCCUUCGAGGGCACCCCUCAAUCUCUAUGAUAAUUUCUUGUCUUCUCCAGGGGCCUUGCUUAUAUAGUCCUCCUCCUCUGUGCGUUUUUGGUUCAGCAGGCGAUGUGGUACUAAACUUUCCACCAUAUCUCAUUAAAAUGCACAUAGGCCUUAAUGGACCAAAAUCUGAUUUGGGCCCAAUUAAUCCCGCAGCUCUUUUAUGUGGAGUCCUUCUUUUAUUAAUAUCUUUUGAUUCCGAACUCCAAAUAUAGCAAGUAAUAUAUGCAUUUCUAUCAGCUCGACGAGAUCUUUGCAAUGAUGUACUCCAUUCUGUGAUUGGUGGAAACACCUGGGCGGGCGCCCUGCCCCCGGGCCCGUUUGCCUUCUCGUUCGUUCCCGUGGCUUCUGGAGUCUUCUAGAUGAUAGAAAAUUGUGCGGCACAUUAAUAUCUCUAUGUAAUCCCGACGUGUGGGCCUUUCUUCCUUAUUUCCUGAUAACCCCCUGCAGAAAUAGACAAACACCAAAACUCGUGGAAUUCUGUCAGAUAAAACCCUAAGUCUAGAUGUUGAUUUCAUUUGGAUCCUUUUCUUUGUU
rnacentral:lncRNA from 1 species